UGGGCGUGGUGGUGCAUGCCUAUAAUCCCAGCUACUCGGGAGGCUGAGGCAGGAGAAUCGCUUGAACCAGGGAGUUAGAGGUUGCAGUGAGCCGAGAUUGCGCCACUGCACUCCAGCCUGGCGAAAGAGUGAGACUCCAUCUCAAAAAGUAAAUAACAAAAUAAAAAUAAAAAUAAAUAAAAAAUAAAGGCUGGACACAGUGGUUCACACCUGCAAUCCCAGUACUUUGGGAGGCUGAGGCGGGCUGAUCAUGAGGUCAGGAGAUCGAGACUAUCCUGGCUAACACGGUGAAACCCCAUCUCUACUAAAAAUACAAAAACCCCAUUUCUACUAAAAACACACAAAAAAAUUAGCUGGGCAUGGUGGCAUGCACCUGUAGUCCCAGCUACUCAGAAGGCUUAGGCAGGAGAAUUGCUUGAACCUGGGAGGCGGAGGUUGCAGUGAGCCGAGAUCGUGCUACUGCACUCCAGCCUGGGGGACAGAGCAAGACUCCAUCUCAAAUAAAUAAAUAAAUAAAUAAAUGAGUACCCAUUGCUGUUAUUACCAGUUGACUUUCAGCAGCACCAACAAUAAAACCUUUGAUAGAAACUCUUGGCUGGGCACAGUGGCUCAAGCCUAUAAUCCUAGCAUUUUGGGAGGCCGAGGCAGGAGGAUCACUUGAGCCCAGACUGGGCAAUGUGGCAAAACCCCAUCUCUAUAAAAAAUACAAAAACUAACUGGGUGUGGUGGUGGGCACCUGUAGUCCUAGCUACUAGGUAGCCUAAGGUGGGAGGAUCACUUGAGCCCAGGAGUUCAAGGCUGUAGUGGGCUGUGAUCAGACCACUGCACUCCAGCCUGGGUGACACAGUGAGACCCUGUCUCAAAAAGAAGGAAGGAAGGAAGGAAGGAAGGGAGGGAAGGAGGGAGGGAGGGAAGAGAGAGGAAGGGAGGCAGGCAGGCAGGGAGGGAGGGAGGGAAGAGAAGAGAGAGCAAGAAAGGAGGGAGGGAAGGAAGGAAAGAAGGAAGGGAGGGAAAAGAAGAAAGAGGAAGGAAGGAAGGAAGAAAAAAAAAAAGAAACUCUCCAGCUGCUAGUCUAUACUUUAUCUAGGAAUGAGUAUGCCAUAACACCAUUUGAUGCCAUGCUUAAAGGGCAAAUGGCCAAAUUAAUUUCGGUGACAAACAGAUCUUGUAUAAAGCUACACUUUGGCUGAAAGACAGUAUAGAUUGCCAAGAGUCCGUCAAAGGAAAAGAAUUAGUGGAUCUGGGGCUGGUUCCAACGUUUGAGUGUUGUGUAAUUUCAUAAGGAAGGAGGGCCUCAAGCAAAAUUGCAGCCCUUAGCAAGCCUGAAGGUCACUGCCACAAAGGUGGCCUGAUGCCAGAGGAACAAAAGCAGGAGCCACUCAAUUACUACUAAGGAAGAAGCCAAAGGGAGAAAUAAGCUUAUAAAAUAACUGAUCCAACAUCCAGCUUUGAAAAAUUAUCUAUGCAUAACUCUUCCCCACUAAGAAGGCAGCAGGAUCAGUUAUCCUUUUCAAUGAAUAGUACUACUUUACCUUCCAGUAGAAAUAUCCUGCAAUAUAUUUUCACUCCAGCACAAACAUGUCACGAAAGAGAGAAAGGUGCAUAUGUCCUUUAGCUGAUGCAAGCACAUUUUUAAUUCAUCCCACCAAGAUAAAUCACUAACCAUCUGAAACCCGCAAAAAUGGACUAACGAUCUCAUACAGCAUGACUAUGAAAACCCACAUCUGCUAACCACAUUCCUAAUAAGCAGCAGCUGGUGACAGUUUUGUAGCACUGUGACUUUUUAAAGGAAAAUAUUAGCAAGGACACACUAAAUAGAAGUUUAGUUUCAUUGAAUCCACUUAGUUACGGAAAAUCACCAGUGUUUUCUUUUUUCUUUUUUUUAUUGACAAUCAUGGAAAUUACAUAAUUUGUCAUGAAAUUCAAAUAAUAUCUAAAAAUAAAAGUCAGCCCAGCACGGUGGCUCACGCCUGUAAUCCUAGCACUUUGGGAGGCCGAGGUGGGUGGAUCAUUUGAGGUCAGGGGUUCGAGACCAGCCUGGUCAACGUGGUGAAACCCUGUCUCCACUAAAAAUACAAAAAUUAGCCAGCCAUGGUGGCAGGCACCUGUAAUCCCAGCUACUUGGGAAGCUGAGGCAGGAGAAUCGCUUGAACCCGGGAGGCGGAGGUUGCAGUGGGCCAUGAUCGUGCCACUGCACUCAAGCCUGGGUGACAAAGCGAGACUGUCUCAAAAAAAAUAAAAAAAUAAAAAUUAAAUUAAAAGUCUACUUUCCCCCUUCACCAGUUCUUUUUUUUUUUUUUUUUUUUUUUUUUUUUUUUUUUGAGAUGGAGUCUCGCUGUGUCGCCCAGACUGGAGUGCAGCGGCCUGAUCUCAGCUCACUGCAAGCUCCGCCUCCUGGGUUCAUGCCAUUCUCCUGUCUCAGCCUCCCGAGUAGCUGGGACUACAGGCACCUGCCCCCACGCCCGGCUAAUUUUUUUAUUUUUAGUAGAGACGGGGUUUCAUCGUGUUAGCCAGGAUGGUCUCGAUCUCCUGACCUCGUGAUGCGCCCGCCUUGGCCUCCCAAAGUGCUGGGAUUACAGGCGUGAGCUACCGUGCCCGGCCUCUUUUUUUUUUUUUUUGAGAUGAAGUUUCCCUCUUGUUGCCCAGACUGGAGUGCAAUGGCACCAUCUCGGCUCACUGCAACCUCCGCUUCCUGGGUUCAAGCAAUUCUCCUGCCUUAGCCUCCCGAGUAGCUGAGAUUACAAAUGCCUGCCAUCAUGCCCAGCUAAUUUUUGUAUUUUUAGUAGAGACGGGGUUUUACCAUGUUGGCCAGGCUGGUCUCGAAUUCCUGACCUCAGGCGAUACGGCUGCCUUGGCCUCCCACAGUGCUGGGAUUACAGGUGUGAGCCACCACACCCAGCCUGGAGAUUGAAUCUUUAAAGAGGUAACUGAGUUAAAAUGAGGUCACUGGGGUGGGCCCUAAUCCAGUUUGACUGUUUUCCUUAUAAGAAGAGAUGAGGGCAGAGAUACAUGCAUGGAGGGAAGACCAUGGGAAGAUGAAGGGAGAAGAUGGUCAUUUACAAGGCAAGGAGAGAGGCCUCAGAAGAAACCAAUCCAGCCUGGCGUGGUGGCUCAUGCCUGUAACCACAGCACAUCAGGAGGCAGGAGGAUCACUUGAGUCCAGGAGUUCGACACCAGCCUGGGCAAUAUAGCAAGACCUCGUCUCUACCAAAAAACAAAAAGCUAAAAAACAAGGCCAGGCACGAUGGCUCACAUCUGUAAUCUCAGCAUUUUGGGAGGCUGAGGCUGGCAGAUCACUUGAGGUCAAGAGUUCAAGACCAGCCUGGCCAACAUGGUAAAACUCCAUCUCUACUAAAAAUACAAAAAUUAGCUGGGCAUGGUGUUGCAUGGUUGUAAUCCCAGCUACUCAGGAGGCUGAGGUAGGAGAAUCACUUGAACCUGGAAGGCGGAGGUUGCAGUGAUCCAAGAUUGCUCCACUGCACUCCAGCCUGGGCAACAGAGUGAGACUCUGUCUCAAAACAACCACCACCACCAAAAACAAACAAACAAACAAACAAACAAAAAAUCCUGCUGACACCUUGAUCUCAAUCUCAGACCUUUAGCCUCCAGAACUAUGAGAAAAUAAAUUUCUGGUCUGGCACAGUGGCUCACGCCUAUAAUCCCAGCACUUUGGGAGGCCAAGGCAGGUGGAUUGCUUGAGUUCAGGAGUUCUAGACCAGCCUGGGCAACAUAGUGAGACCCCAUCUCUACAAAAAAAUAGAUCCUUGAUUAAAAAAAAAAAAAAAAAAGAAAAAGGCCAGGUGCGGUGGCUCGUGCCUGUAAUCCCAACACUUUGGGAGGCCGAGACGGGUGGAUCACUUGAGAUCAGGAGUUUGAGACCAGCCUGACCAACAUGGUGAAACCCCAUCUCUACUAAAAAUACAAAAAUUAGCUGGAUGUGGUAGCACACACUUAUUACCCCAGCUACUUGGGAGGCUGAGGCAGGAGAAGUGCUUGAACCCUAGAGGCAGAGGCUGCAGUGAGCUGAGAUCGUGCCACUGCACUCCAGCCUGGGCAUCAGAGUGAGACUCUAUUCCAAAAAAAAAAAAGAAAGAAAAAGAAAAAAUGACAGUUUGGGCUAUUAAAAAAAAAAAUUAGCCAGGUGUAGUGGCGCACACCUGUAGUUCUAGCUACUCAGGAUGCUGAGGCCGGAGGAUUGCUUGAGCCCAGGGGUUAAGGCUGCAAUGAGUCAAGAUUGAGCAACUGCAAUCCAGCCUGGGCAACAGAGCCAGACCCUGUCUCCAAAAAAAAAAAAAGAAGUUAUGUUGUUGAAGCCAUCCCAAUAGUGCUUUGUUAUGGCAGCCCUAACAUAGACCCCCCGUCACCUACACAACAGCCUGUUUUUUGCCUCCCUAACUUCCAGUCUCUUCUGCCCCUUACACAAAUGGGCAUUUUUACUGUCAUUCCAUUGAAUGUGUGAGUGACUCACAGCUGUGUUUUCCACUGAAUGAAAAUUCUGGACCACAGACUGGAAGGCCCACCCCAACUGGUCUUAUUUCUCACUACAUGUUGGCUCAAGGACUCUGUAUCCAAAACAACUUGUCUUUUCCACAUACUUUCCUAAACUGCUUAGCUUCCUUCUGUGGAAACCACUCUAUUGUGUGUGUGGUGUGUGUGUGUGUGUGUGUGUCUGUGUGUCAGGGUCUUGCUCUGUUCUCAGGCUGGAAUGCAAUGGUGUGGUCCCAGGUCACUGCAGCCUCAACCUCCCAGGCUCAAGCAAGUCUCCCACCUCAGCCUCUCGAGUAGCUAGGAAACACAGGCAUGUGCCACCACAUCUGGCUAAUUUUAAAAAAAUGUUUUCGUAGAGAUGGGGUCUCACUGUGUUGCCCAGGCUGGUCUCAAGUUCAAGGAAUCCUCCUGCCUUGGUCUCCCAAAGUGCUGGGGUUACAGGCAUGAGCCACUGUACCUGACCUCAUGUAGCAUGACUGAUCUACUUGCUUCUCUCCCCUUCUAGGCGGUAUAGUUCUUGAGGGCUGAGGCUGUAUUUUUCUUCUGUUUUUGGUGAGUUGCAUAUAGUAGCCACUCAAUAAAUGUAUAGCUGUUACUAAAUUCUAUAACUUCCUAAAGACAAUGAACUGACACAAAGCUAAGCCUGAAUAUCUAGAUCUGUGCUGGUCAAUAUGAAGGCUAUUAGCACAUGUAGCUAUUUAAAUUAAAAUUAAAAAUUCUGGCCAGGCAUGGUGGCUCACACCUGUAAUCCCAGCACUUUGGGAGGCUGAGGCAGGCAGAUCACCUGAGGUUAGGAGUUCCAGCCUGGCCAACAUGGUGAAACCUUGUCUCUAUAAAAAAUAUAAAAAUUGUGCUCGCUUCAGCAGCACAUAUACUAAAAUUGGAACGAUACAGAGAAGAUUAACGUGGCCCCUGAGCAAGGAUGACACGCAAAUUCGUGAAGCGUUCCAUAUUUUUUGCAAACCAUCCAAAAGACCACCACCCGCCAGACAGUGGAUGGCAAAGUGGUGUCUGAGACCAACGACACCAAAGUUCUGAGGCAUUAAGCCAGCAGAAGCAGGGUACCCUUUGAGGAGCAGGAGGCCAAUAAAAAGUUCAGAGUUAAAAAAAUAUAUAUAUGUGUAUAUAUAUAUACACAUACACACACACACACACAUAUAUAUUAUAUAUAUGUGUGUAUAUAUAUGUGUGUGUGUGUAUAUAUAUGUGUGUGUGUGUGUGUGUGUGUGUGUGUAUACAUAUAUAUAUAUAUAAAUUAGCCGGGCAUGGUGGCGCAUGCCUGUAGUCCCAGCUACUUGGGAGGCUGAGGCAGGAGAAUCGCUUGAACCCAGGAGGUGGAGGUUGUAGUGAGCCAAGAUGGUGCCACUGCGCUCCAGCCUGGGCGACAGAGUGAGACUCCGUCUCAAAAAAUAAAUAAAUAAAUAAAACAGAAAUGUUUUCUAUUUGUGCUAUGCCGUAAGAUAGUUACUAGGCACAUGUGACUAUUGAGCACUUGCAAUGUUGCUAGUGUGACUAAGAACAGAAUUUUUUUUUUUUGAGAAGGAGUCUUGCUCUGUUACCCAGGCAGGAGUGCAGUGGUGCGAUUUCGGCUCACUGCAACCUCUGCCUCCCAGGUUCAAGCGAUUCUCCUGCUUCAGCCUCCUGAGUAGCUGGGAUUACAGGCACACACCACCAUGCCUGGCUAAUUUUUGUAUUUUUAGUAGAGGCAGAGUUUCACCAAGUUGGUCAGGCUGGUCUUCAACUCCUGACCUCGUGAUCCGCCCACCUCAGCCUCCCAAGGCACUGGGAUUACAGGCAUGAGCCACCUUAUGCUGGCUUCGAACUCCUGACCUCAUGAUCCACCCGCCUCGGCCUCCCAAAAUGCUGGGAUUACACGCGUGGACCAACCGUGCCCAGCCUUACUUAUUUAUUUUUGAUACAGGGGUCUCACUCUGUCACCCAGGUUGGAGUGCAGUGGCAUGAUCUCUGCUCACUACAACUUCCACCUCCCAGGCUCAAGUAAUUCUCCCACCUCAGCCUCCCAAGUAGCUGAGAUUAUAGGCAUGCGCCACUACACCCAGCUAAUUUUUGUAUUUUUAGUAGAGACGGGGUUUCAUGGUGCCUAGGCUGGUCUCAAACUCCUGAGCUCAGGUGAUUCAUCCGGCUUGGCCUCCCAAAGUGCUGUGAUUACAGGCAUGAGCCACCACACUUGGCCUACUUUUCUAUCAUUACGGAAAGUUUAUUGGACAGUGCUGAUCUACGUCAUAAAAUACCUUGAAAUACUAAAAGAAAAAGACAACACGGCUGGACACGGUGGCUCACGCCUGUAAUCCCAGCACUUCGGGAGGCCGAGCUGGGCGGAUCACGAAGUCAGGAGCUCGACACCAUCCUGGCUAACACGGUGAAACCCCGUCUCUACUAAAAAUACAAAAAAUUAGCCAGGCAUGGUGGCAGGCGCCUGUAGUCCCAGCUACUCAGGAGGCUGAGGCAGGAGAAUGCCUUGAACCCGGGAGGCGGAGCUGGCAGUGAGCCAAGACUGCGCCACUGCACUCCAGCCUGGGUGACAGAGUGAGACUGUCUCAAAAAAAAAAAAAAAAAAAAAAAAAAAACAAACCAGAAAGAAAGAAAAAGACAACACAUUAGGGGAAAAAAAGGAGAAAGGGUUAUGAAUAUGUAAUUCAUGCAAUUGGCCAAACAGCCAAACACAUAAAGUGAGCAACCUCAUUAGUAAACAGGGAAAUGCAGAGUAAAAUGAGAUAGCGUUUUUCACCCAUUGGAUAGGCUAAAAUUAGUCUGCCAAUACAUUGGUAAGGAAUAAGGAAACAAAUACUUUCAAACACUGCUGAUGGGAAAACAGCCAGUACGAAGGCCAAAUAAAAGUGAAAGAAAAUGGACACAGUAUGAGCCACACCCAGGAACUGGCCCAAGAAACACCCAGACAUGAGCACCAGGAGACAAUGUCCUAGAUUGUACAUUACUACACUCUAUAUGACUAACACAAAAGACUGCCCACAUAACUCAAUAUUACAGCUAGAUCAAGUGCUCAAACACCUUCCCUGUAGCCUACGAAACGGAAAAUCCUUUGUGUAUCAUGCCUGCUAAUCAUCAUGUUACAGGAAAGGGGUCACAAUCCAGACCCCAAGAGAGGGUUCUUGGAUCUUAUGCAAGAAAGAAUUCAGGGCGAGUUGGUAAAGUGAAAGCAAGUUUAUUAAGCAAGUGAAGGAAAGCCAGAGCAGCCUCAAGGCUGGUUGCCCAUUUUUAUGGUUCUUUUCUUUUUUUUUUGGAGACACAGCCUCACUCUGCCGCCAGGCUGGAGUGCAGUGGUGCGAUCUCGGCUCACUGCAACCUCUGCCUGCCCAGUUCAAGUGAUUCUUCUGCCUCAGCCUCCCUAGUAGCUGGGACUAUAGGUGUGUGCCACCAUGCCCAGCUAAUUUUUGUAUUUUUUUUUAGUAGAGACGGGGUUUCACCAAGUUGGCCAGGUUGGUCUGGAACUCCUGACCUCAGGUGAUCUGCCCACCACAGCCUUCCAGAGUGCUGAUAUUACAGGCAUGAGCCACCGCACCCAGCCUUUUAUGGUUAUUUCUUGAUGAUAUGCUAAGCAAGGAGUGGAUUAUUCAUGCCUUCCCUGUUUAGACCAUAUACGGUAACUUCCUGACGUUGCCAUGGCAUUUGUAAACUGUCAUGGCGCUGGUGGGAGUGUAGCAGUGAGGACGACCAGAGGUCACUCUUGCGGCCUUCUUGGUUUUGGUGGGUUUUAGCCAGCUUCUUUACUGCAACCUGUUUCAUCAGCAAGGUCUUUAUGACCUGUAUCUUGUGCCGACCUUCUAUCUCAUUCAGUGACAUAAUGGCUUAACUGUCUGGGAAUGCAGCCCAGUAGGUCUCAGCCUCAUUUUACCUAGCUCCUAUUCAAGAUACAUUUGCUUUGGUUCAAAUGCUUCUGACAAUCAUAUUUAUGAUUAGGGUCCUAUAACUGAGAUAGUGGGGGAAUAAGCUGAAGAAUGCCACCUUGGCCUCUAACAAAUCAAUGUGUGACUAUGGGAAAAAUUACCUCUUCCCUUCUUGAUCUCCCAUUUCCAAGACUGUAAAAAUGAGAAUGGCCGGGUGCGGUGGCUUACACAUGAAAUCCCAGCACCUUGGGAGGCCGAGGUGGGCAGAUCACCAGGUCAGGGGAUUGAGACCAUCCUGGCCAACAUGCUGAAACCCCGUCUCUACUAAAAUACAAAAAAUUAGCCGGGCGUGGUGGCGGGCACCUGCAGUCCCAGCUACUUGGGACUGAGGCAGGGGAAUCGCUUGAAUCUAGAAGGCGAAUGUUGCAGUGAGCCGAGAUCGCACCACUGCACUCCAGCCUGGUGACAGAGCAAGACUGUCUCAAAAAAAAAAAAAAAAGAAGAAAAAAAAAGGAAAAAAAAUGAGACUGAGAGUCACGUUUCUUUUACAAACUCCUGCUUCAUCUCCACCCAAUAGGAAUAACUUCAUUUUUAUCUACAGCAUACAUUGUGGUUCGGUAUUAAGUACCAUUUAAAGAAAGGUUGAUGCUCAAAAGAAAGCCUAAAAACCCCCAAAUUUGAUGGUCUCUAUCUUCCAAUAUUCCAAGAUUUUAGUUCUUCUUAGUUGAAUUUGCUAUACUCUCCACGGUACAUGUGAAUUAUCCAUUCAGAGAUUAGUUUACUAACCAGUACAUGAGAAGAGUGAAUUUUUAAAGCAUUUGAGUCAGAUUGGCAAAAAAGACCGUUCCUGGGCUGGUUUCAAAUCAGAAUUUUUCUGUAGAACCCAAGAAUGAGCAGAGGUAUGCAAAAUGGCCAAAACAGAAACAUAACGCCAAGAGGGAAACGUUUUAAAUGUCUAGGUUACACAAACCCCCAAAGUAAAAACACCCUGAAACCCAUGCACUAAAGCGUUCCCCUUUUUUAAUACUGGUUUUCCUUCCCUUCCCUUCCCUUCCCCUCACAUCCCCUCCCCUCCUCUCCCCUCUCCCACAGUCCCUUCCCCUCACAUUCCCUCCCCUCCUUUCCCCUCCCUUCCCUUCCCCCAAUUUCUCUAACUUGCCCUAGUCAGUUUCUGCUUCAUUUGUAUUCCAAGUUUUCUACUUCGGAAGAAUUUCAAGGCCCAAAGCACUUACUUCCCAUACCAUUUAAGGAAGUACAAAUCACUGGCUGGAAAAGUUGAAAAGGAAUGCUUUCUACUUUCAGAACUUUUACUUCCUCAUUCAGAUGAUCUGUGGGCUCUCUCUGUGAGAAUUACAUCCUCCACAACCCACAAGAUUUUAGAAUUUAAGUAAGUUAAGCCAUAAACUAGAUUCCAGUUGACAAGGAUUCUCUGAAUUUACAGCUCUACAACGAGUGAAAAGCAAGUGAGUUAAUUUAUUAUUUUAUUUUGAGAUGGAGUCUCGCUCUGUGCGAUCUUGGCUCACUGCAACCUCUGCUUCCCAGGUUCAAGCAGUUCUCCUGCCUCAGCCUCCCAAGUAGCUGGGAUUACAGGCGUGUGCCACCAUGCCUGGCUAAGUUUUGUAUUUUUAGUAGAGAUGGGGUUUUGCCAUGUUGGCCAGGCUGGCUUGAACUCCUGAACCUCAAGUGAUCUGCCUGCCUUGGCCUCCCGAAGUGCUGGGAUUACAGGUGUGAGCCACUGCACCGGGCCACAAGUGAGUUACUAUUUAAGGCAUCCUAGCCUCCAUCUGUUCACAAGUAUUCAAUGUAGACCAGCAACUUGAACUUGUCAUUUCAACCACUUAAAACAUUUCUUAGAAAGGACAGAAUCUUCAGUAAACUAAAAAGGUCCCUAAUAGUCCAGUCUAAUCCAGACUGGAAAAAUAUACCUUACAGAAAAAAAUGUAUUCAACAAGAGGCAAGUUUUUUUUUACACAGGUGACCUAAAAAGUUGCAGGUAUUUUGUUUUCUUUGAGAGAGGGUCUCAAAAAAAUCUAGGCUGGAGUGCAGCGGCGUGCUCAGGGAUCACUGCAGCCUCUUCCUCCUGGGCUCAAGCAAUCCUCCCACCUCAGCCUCCUGAGAAGCUGGGACUACAGGUGCUUGCCACCACGCCUGGCUAAUUUUUGUAUGUUUUGUAGGGAUGGAGUUUCACCAUGUUGCCCAGGCUGGUCUCAAAGUCCUCAGUUCAAGCUAUUUGCCAGUCUCAGCCUCCCAAAGUGCUGGGAUUACAGCCAUGGCGCCCAGCAGGUAUUUGUUUAAAUUACUCCUAUCACUGUAAAACCUAACAGGUGGGGCAGAGGCAAAGACAUCCAUUAUAAAUCUUAUCAUAUCUGUUCUUUCUUAUCAAACCUAAAAUAGGCUGUCCUUUAUGUGAUAAAUUAUUGGGCUCUGUUUAUCUCUCUUAUAACCUCUCUCUCUCUGUUAAUUCUCCCCCCAAACAUCUACCUUAAAUCCUCAUUUAUUUUCCCUUUCCAGAAUGGAGGGUGGGGCUAAUCAUAGCAAAAUGUUUUUCACCAACCCUUCAUUCAAGAUGUUAUCAGAACCCACACACUUCUCUGCCCACACUUCAGCCCUCCAUCCCCAAAACAAACAAAAACCACACAAACUGGGUUUACGCAGGCAUGCAACAGAAUACAUCCCGAGAAGGGAAAGAAAUCUAUCUGCUCAGUUUAGUUAACUAGAGUUCUUCACUUUCUAAUUUAAAGAUCACAUUAAAACUGGCCAGUUGAUAACACACGUGGGAAUAACAAUGUCAGAGCAGGUAGAAGAGAAUGAAAAAUGUGAAAUACAUGGUGGGCUCUCGGGUCCCCAUCUCUACUCUUAAUCCCUAACAAAAUUCCUGCCCAGUGUUUCCUUACCCUUUUUUUUUUUUUUUUUUUUAAAGAGACAGGGUCUCACACUAUGUUGCCCAGGCUGGAGUGCAGUGGCUAUUCACCAGUAUGAUCAUAGCACACUAUGGUCUCAAGCUCCUGGGCUCCACUGAGCCUCUCGAGUAGCUGGGACUACUGAUGUGUGCCCAGCUCCUGUAUCUUUUUUUUCAUAUUGUAUUUCUUUAGGGAUAGGGUCUCCCUAUGUUGCCCGGGUUGGUCUCUGGACUCAAGGAUGCUCCCACCUUGGCCUCCUAAAAUGCUGGGAUUACAGGCAUGAGCCACCAUGCCUGGCCCUUCCAUACCUUUUGAAACCAGCACAUAACAGGUAAAAAGGCAGUUAAUGGGACUGAUAACCCAAGCUUUUUUUACUUUUAAAUAAAAUUAACGGCUGACUGUCAAAGGUCAAAGGCAUCUAUUUUUUAGAUGGAGCACUCCCUUAUAAUGCUGGAGUUGAAAUUCUUCCUUGAACUCUAAGGCUGAUUAUGGUUAUUAGUGGUCAGGCUAUCCUGGGUAAGUAAUUACGGUCCUCUGCCCUCCAGGGCGAGGAUGGGCAGAUUCCUACGCAGUUCCAUGGGCUGGGGGCUGGCAGGAAGUGAAGGCUAUCAGCUCUCUGAAGCCUUAGGCAUGUAAUAGGGAACAGAACACAAAUAUCUUUUCUUCUGAGAUUGCGGCCUACAGAAUAAGCAGGACUCAAUCAACAUUAGAUGAGUUUGUAGCUACUGAGCACAUUAUCCCCAAUACAAAUACCUCAUUUGGAAUUUCCAUUCAUUUUCAUUCAAUGAAGGGAAA
rnacentral:lncRNA from 10 species